GUGUGUGUAUGUGAGAGUGUGCGUGUGUGUGCGUGUGUUUAUAUAUGUGUGUGUGCGUACGUAUGUGCUCACUAAUGCCGCCGAGUCAAUUUGUCAAUCAACCAUCAAUCAGAAUAAUUCCCACUGAACUUUCUGCCGAAAUCCGACGCUGCCCAAAUGAUGGUAUUUUUCCUCGCUUCUCCGAUUCCGGGAACCUGCUAUCUUAUCUGCCCAGCAUACGACUCGACUCAAUUUGUACGCGAGUAAACUAUGAUUUGCAGAAGGCCCACCGAAGGAGACCGCGAGCGUCGUCGUCCUACAGCAGAGUCGCCGGGUGCAGCUCGUGUCACCCUCAGGCCCGCGGCGUAGUCCCUUCGGCGCCACCUCGGGCCAGGGCCACGGCUGCCCACGUGCCAUUCUGUAGCUUGCGCCCGACCUGAGGCGGCCCAGAGCCUAGAGAUUAUAAAGUAAAUAAAUAGAUAAAUAAAUAAUAAUAAUAGCUUUGCACUUUCCUUUCAGACUGAAAUCCUUCCGACACUACAUUUGUCGAAUUGACUUUUUGAAGCCCUUGUCGGUAAUAAUAAAUCUCCGUUCACAAAAAAAUCUGCAUUCAGUUGUAUUCAAAUAUUUGUGAACAAACUACGAGCUAUAAACAGUGAACGAACACCUCAGAUGUAGCUGUAUGAAGCGAGUUGUAUGAAGUUCCUACCUGCAACCAGGCCGAUUUUCGAGGCCAGAAUAGCACCAGUUACUUCAUAUUUUUUCUGAAGUUCCAUGUGCUUUUUUCUGGAAUCUCUCUUUGGAAUGGAGAUCCGGGUAUGAUUGUUCAAGCAUUGUUUGGCGGAAAAUCGUUUAAUGGUAUUCAACAUUAAGAUACGCUUCGGCAAACUGAAUGGUCCUUUAUUUUAACCUGGGAAAACAAAUAGAAUUCCAGCUGGGGAUGUAUAUCUUCAAGCAAUUUAUGAAAACUAUUGAUAUAUUUGUCUAGAGUCACUUUUCGUUCAGUACUCGAUGGAGAGACGCAAUAGUCCUUUUUCGCUCUGCAAUCGAUGAAUAGACGCAAAUUUGAUAAGACCUUAAAUCCACAAAAUUUUCUGGGCAUUUUCACUCAAACCAUGAUUAGUUUACGAGCAUUACGAUGAACAAAACCUUUUCAAAACCCGCUUCCCUCAACCACGUGCCUGUCUGGCUGUUCGAGUCACCGGCCCCGCUCGCAGUAUUCGGAAAUCAUAUGUUUUCCAUUUCUCAAAAUUGCCUGCACGUUCAAUACACCACUGAUUCACAGUUUUCCCAUAGUGACUCAGUAAGCAACUUCAAUUAAUUCAUUGAUAUUGGUGAGUCAAGAGACACAGGAUGUUUUGACAUCAAUAGUCUUAAAAAAAAAAAAAAA